GUCCUGAGGCUCCUGUUCCUGCUGCUUCCCAUCCUGUCUGGAGGCGCCAGGGCUUCCGGAAGCGGAGCUGCAGUCUCUGAGGAACUCACAGGCUUGGCUGGAGCUGAAGAUGCGGGAGCUCAAGGAGACGGUGGCUCAGGUGUCUGAUGCAAAGGGGAACAUAGUGCAGGCAGUGAGCGAGGUCCUUGAAGACCAUGGUGUCCAAGAGGAGA